rnacentral:rRNA from 1 species
AAAUGAAUAGACGGGGACCCGCACAAGCAGAGGAUCAUGCGGUUUAAUUCGACAAUAAACGAGAAACCUCACCCAGGCUUGACAUCCCGAGAAGUUGCCGGAAACGGCGAUGUGCCCGCAAGGGAGCUCGGAGACAGGCGCUGCAUGGUUGUCGUCAGCUCGUGCCUUGAGGUGUUCGGUUAAGUCCGUUAACGAGCGCAACCCACGCUGCAAGUUACUAUGUCUUGCAGGACUGCCCGGGUUAACCGGGAGGAAGGUGUGGAUGACGUCAAAUCAGCAUGGCCCUUAUGCCUGGGGCCACACGCAUGAUACAAUGGUCGGUACAAUGGGUCGCAAUGCCGCGAGGCGGAGCCAAUCCCAAAAGCCGAUCUCAGUCCGGAUUGAGGUCUGCAACUCGACCUCAUGAAGUUGGAUUUGCUAGUAAUCGUGAAUCAGCUAUGUCACGGUGAAUAUGUUCCCGGGUCUUGUACACACCGCCCGU